GCCGAGAUAGCUCAGUUGGUAGAGCGGCGCUUUCGUAAAGCGUAGGUCCCGGGUUCGAGCCCCGGUCUCGGCU
rfam:Microgenomates (Woesebacteria) bacterium GW2011_GWA1_43_12 TV66_C0002, whole genome shotgun sequence.